rnacentral:rRNA from 1 species
GACGAACGCUGGCGGCGUGCCUAAUACAUGCAAGUAGAACGCUGAAGCCGGAGCUUGCUUCUCUGGAUGGGUUGCGAACGGGGGAGUAACGCGUAUGUAACCUGCCUGGUCGCGGGGGAUAACUAUUGGAAACGAUAGCUAAUACCGCAUAAGAGUAGAUGUUGCAUGGCAUUUACUUAAAAGUUGCAAUUGCAUCACUACCAGAUGGACCUGCGUUGUAUUAGCUAGUUGGUGUGGGAACGGGUAACCAAGGCAACGGUACCUAGCCGGCCGGAGAGGGGGAACGGCCAACCUGGGAAUGGGAAAAGGCACAGGCCCCUACGGGAGGCAGGAGGAGGGAAUCUUGGGCAAUGGACGGAAGGCUGAACGAGCAACGACGGGUGAGUGAAGGAGGUUGUCGGAUCGUAAAGCUCUGUUUUAUGAGAAGAACGAGUGUGAGAGUGGAAAGUUCACGUUGUGACGGUACCUGAACAGAAAGCGACGGCUAACUACGUG